rnacentral:rRNA from 1 species
UACGUAGGUGGCAAGCGUUGUCCGGAUUUAUUGGGCGUAAAGAGCGUGUAGGCGGCCAGAUAAGUCCGCUGUGAAAUCUCGAGGCUCAACUUCGAGCUGUCGGUGGAAACUGUCUGGCUAGAGUCCGGAAGAGGAGAAUGGAAUUCCUGGUGUAGCGGUGAAAUGCGCAGAUAUCAGGAAGAACACCCGUGGCGAAGGCGGUUCUCUGGGACGGUACUGACGCUGAGACGCGAAAGCGUGGGGAGCGAACAGG